UACGAAGGGGGCUAGCGUUGCUCGGAAUCACUGGGCGUAAAGCGCACGUAGGCGGAUUGUUAAGUCAGGGGUGAAAUCCUGGAGCUCAACUCCAGAACUGCCUUUGAUACUGGCGAUCUCGAGUCCGGGAGAGGUGAGUGGAACUGCGAGUGUAGAGGUGAAAUGCGCAGAUAUCGGGAAGAACACCCGUGGCGAAGGCGGUUCUCUGGGACGGUACUGACGCUGAGACGCGAAAGCGUGGGGAGCGAACAGG
rnacentral:rRNA from 1 species